rnacentral:rRNA from 1 species
GUGAGGAAUAUUGGUCAAUGGGCGAGAGCCUGAACCAGCCAAGUCGCGUGAAGGAUGAAGGUUUUAUGAAUUGUAAACUUCUUUUGCAGGGGAAUAAAGUACGGUACGUGUACCGUUUUGUAUGUACUCUGCGAAUAAGGAUCGGCUAACUCCGUGCCAGCAGCCGCGGUAAUACGGAGGGUCCGAGCGUUAUCCGGAUUUAUUGGGUUUAAAGGGUGCGCAGGCGGGUUGAUAAGUCAGCGGUGAAAGUUUGCAGCUUAACUGUAAAAUUGCCGUUGAAACUGUCGAUCUUGAGUGCAAAUGAGGUAAGCGGAAUGUGUUGUGUAGCGGUGAAAUGCUUAGAUAUAACACAGAACACCGAUUGCGAAGGCAGCUUACUGGGAUGCAACUGACGCUCAUGCACGAAAGCGUGGGGAUCAAACAGGAUUAGAUACCCUGGUAGUCC